GCCUCUGUAGCUCAGUUGGUUUAGAGCAACCGCCUCUUAAGCGGUGGGUCGCAGGUUCGAAUCCUUCCGGGGGCA
rnacentral:tRNA from 3 species